rnacentral:rRNA from 1 species
UGAGGAAUAUUGGUCAAUGGGCGGGAGCCUGAACCAGCCAAGUAGCGUGAAGGAUGAAGGUUCUAUGGAUUGUAAACUUCUUUUACAGGGGAAUAAAGUGCACCACGUGUGGUGUUUUGUAUGUACCCUAUGAAUAAGGACCGGCUAACUCCGUGCCAGCAGCCGCGGUAAUACGGGGGGUGCAAGCGUUGUCCGGAAUCAUUGGGCGUAAAGAGCACGUAGGCGGUAUCCUAAGUCAGAUGUGAAAGACCAGGGCUCAACCCUGGGGUUGCAUACGAUACUGGGGAACUAGAGUGCAGGAGAGGAAAGUGGAAUUCCUAGUGUAGCGGUGAAAUGCGUAGAUAUUAGGAGGAACACCAGUGGCGAAGGCGGCCUGCUGGGCUUUUACUGACGCUGAGGCUCGAAAGUGUGGGUAGCAAACA